GCCCGAUGAACCUGAAUAUCCAUUAUGGAAAAUUCAUCAUUAAAGUUAUUAUAUUUAAACAAUAUUAUAAUAAUAGUGUGCAUUUUUUCCAUAUAAGGACAUUGUAAUCUAUUAGUAUACAAUNAAUUUAUCAUAAAAUAUGGCUUAUAGUUUAUUCAAAUUAUUAUGCUUGCAUUUUAACAUAGAAUAAAUGUCAUUAAUUUGAUAAAGUGCUGAUAGAUUAAUAAGAAUACAGUGCGUUAAUUUUUCGGAAUUAUAUAAUGGCAUAAUUAUCAUUGAUUUUUGUGUUUAUUAUAUGCACUUGUAUGAUUAACAAUGCGAAAGAUUCAGGAUACUUCGGG
rnacentral:rRNA from 1 species